rnacentral:piRNA from 1 species
UAGGACACCAGCAUUAACCAUUCAGGUUCC